UACGUAGGAUGCAAGCGUUAUCCGGAAUUAUUGGGCGUAAAGCGUUCGUAGGUGGUUGUUCAAGUCUUCUGUGAAAGAGCGAAGCUCAACUUCGUAAAGGCAGUGGAAACUACACGGCUAGAGUGCGUUCGGGGCAGAGGGAAUUCCUGGUGUAGCGGUGAAAUGCGCAGAUAUCAGGAGGAACCCCGGUGGCGAAGGCGGUUCUCUGGGCAUGACCUGACGCUGAGGAGCGAAAGUGUGGGGAGCGAACAGG
rnacentral:rRNA from 1 species